rnacentral:rRNA from 1 species
AUGGCCAAAUUCUGGUGGAGUGGAUCUCUUGAUCGGCGAUCUAUGCAUUGGCUAUCUUGGAAAAAACUUGCAUCUCCGAAGUGUCAGGGUGGGAUGGGCUUUCGUGAUCUUGAGUUAUUCAACCUAGCACUACUGGGUAAACAUGGUUGGAGAUUUAUCUCUAAUCCCAACUCCUUAUGCGCCCAAGUGAUGAAGGGCUAUUUUCCGGACUGUGAUUUCAUGGAGGCUUCAGUACCAAACACAUCAUCAGCUAUAUGGCGAGCGAUCAUCGCCGGGAGGGAAGCUCUCCAUGUCGGUCUCAUCAAGAGGGUGGGGGACGGCAGCACCAUCUCCGUUUGGGGGGAUAAGUGGAUCCCGGGCCUUCCCUCCAUGUCUCCUAUGGUGAUGCCGGGGGGAACGACAAUUACCACCGUGCAUGAGCUUAUUGAUCAUGAAAACGGGACCUGGCGGCGGGAUCUGAUCAACAAUAUCUUCAUUCGACCAGACGCCGAUGCUAUUAUGAAUAUCCCCCUACGGUGA